UACAGAGGUGGCAAGCGUUGUUCGGAAUUACUGGGCGUAAAGGGCUCGUAGGUGGCCAACUCAGUCAGACGUGAAAUCCCUCGGCUUAACCGGGGAACUGCGUCUGAUACUGGAUGGCUUGAGGUUGGGAGAGGGAUGCGGAAUUCCAGGUGUAGCGGUGAAAUGCGUAGAUAUCUGGAGGAACACCGGUGGCGAAGGCAGGUCUCUGGGCCAUAACGUGACGCUGAGAAGCGAAAGCAUGGGGAGCGAACAGG
rnacentral:rRNA from 1 species